rnacentral:rRNA from 1 species
AGGACGAACGCUGGCGGCGUGCUUAACACAUGCAAGUCGAACGAUGAACCAGGGCUUGCCCUGGGGAUUAGUGGCGAACGGGUGAGUAACACGUGGGCAACCUGCCCCAGACACCGGGAUAACCUCUCGAAAGAGUGGCUAAUACCGGAUAUGACCACUUCGGGCAUCCGACGGUGGUGGAAAGGAUUCUGGUCUGGGAUGGGCCCGCGGCCUAUCAGCUAGUUGGUGGGGUAAUGGCCUACCAAGGCGACGACGGGUAGCCGGCCUGAGAGGGCGACCGGCCACACUGGGACUGAGACACGGCCCAGACUCCUACGGGAGGCAGCAGUGGGGAAUAUUGCGCAAUGGGCGAAAGCCUGACGCAGCGACGCCGCGUGAGGGACGAAGGUCUUCGGAUUGUAAACCUCUUUCAGCAGGGACGAAGCGAAAGUGACUGUACCUGCAGAAGAAGCACCGGCUAACUACGUG